rnacentral:rRNA from 1 species
AGCGAACGCUGGCGGCAGGCUUAACACAUGCAAGUCGAGCGGGCGUAGCAAUACGUCAGCGGCAGACGGGUGAGUAACGCGUGGGAACGUACCUUUUGGUUUGGGAUAACCCAGGGAAACUUGGGCUAAUACCGGAUAAGCCCUUACGGGGAAAGAUUUAUCGCCGAAAGAUCGGCCCGCGUCUGAUUAGCUAGUUGGUGAGGUAACGGCUCACCAAGGCGACGAUCAGUAGCUGGUCUGAGAGGAUGAUCAGCCACAUUGGGACUGAGACACGGCCCAAACUCCUACGGGAGGCGGCAGUGGGGAAUAUUGGACAAUGGAGGAAACUCUGAUCCAGCCAUGCCGCGUGAGUGAUGAAGGCCUUCGGUUG